UACGUAGGGCGCAAGCGUUGUCCGGAAUUAUUGGGCGUAAAGAGCUCGUAGGCGGUUUGUCACGUCGGAUGUGAAAACUCGGGGCUUAACCCCGAGCCUGCUUCCGAUACGGGCAGACUAGAGGUAGGCAGGGGAGAGCGGAACUCCUGGUGUAGCGGUGGAAUGCGCAGAUAUCAGGAAGAACACCGGUGGCGAAGGCGGCUCUCUGGGCCUUACCUGACGCUGAGGAGCGAAAGCGUGGGUAGCGAACAGG
rnacentral:rRNA from 1 species